rnacentral:lncRNA from 1 species
GACGCCCUGAGCGCGAGGCCCACGUCGGGUCGCGCCGCGGGCUGCGCGUUGGUCCGCCCAAGGCUGGGGCUGGCCGGGGAGAGCCAGUUUGGGUCGCAGCCCUCGAGAGCCUCGCGCUUCCUCGCUUUCCCGCCAGGCCCGCGGAUCCCGCUUCUCCCCGAGGGGAGGCCGAAGCUGGUGGGCCGCGCCCGGCCCCUGGGAGGGCCUCCCGCCCCAGGAGGAAGGACCCGCCUUCUUCUCUGGAAGACCCCAGUAACUGGAUUGUCUGAGUCACAAAUAGUAGAUCCUGGUUGUAUGAGAGGAAACUGUGGAGGACAGAAAGGAGAAAACUGAACAGUAAGUUGAUGUGGAGAAAGAGAAAGCACUGAACUUCAAAAAGGAUCUGGAGAUACGGCAUUUUUCUACCAUAGAAAGCUACUCGGCCAUAAAGAAGGAUAAUCAUGAGGCUCUUGCAAGGAAUAGAUGCAAUUUGUGAUCAUGCUUGUGGAUGAAAUCGUUUGGUCUCACAUAGGUGAGCAUCAUGUUAUCUCUCUAGUAUAAAAAACUGAAGGAGUUAGUGGGAUCCAAAUUGUAAAAUGGAUAUUAUGAAAGUGAAAGACUGAACAACUAUUUCUAAGAUGAGGAUACGUAAUCUAUUAACUAGUGAUUUCUUACUGUUUAUUUUUUAAAUUUUGUAUUACUUGUUCCCUUUUUCUGUUUUUUUCUUUUUCUCCUUAAAUUAAAAAAAAAAGAAAGUGAAAGAGGAAGAAAUGUCUAAAAGGGAAGGUGGUAGCCAUUGUUAAUUCCCUAUUAUUUUGUUUUAAAGUCCUGUAUCAUUUUCAUUGUUUUGUUUUGAUUGAUUUUAUUCUGUUUUGUUUGGUUUGAUUUUAAUUAUAGCUGAUGGCAUGGGCAGGUAUUUCAAAAAUAACAAUAUAUAUUAUGGUAGCCAUUGUUGAUGUCUUAUUAUCUUGUUUUGAAGUCUUGUGUCACUUUCACUGUUCUGUUUUGAUUGAUUUUAUUCUGUUCUGUUUUAUUUAAUUUUAUUAGGUCUGAUGGUAUAGGCAGCUGUUUUGAAGAUAACAGGAGGCAUUAUGUUGAUUUCCU